rnacentral:rRNA from 1 species
GGGGGCCUAAUUACUGGAUCACCUCCUAUUAGUGAAGCAGAGCUUGCUCUGUGGAUCAGUGGCGAACGGGUGAGUAACACGUGAGCAACCUGCCCUGGACUCUGGGAUAAGCGCUGGAAACGGCGUCUAAUACUGGAUACGAGACGUGGCCGCAUGGUCAACGUUUGGAAAGAUUUUUUGGUUCAGGAUGGGCUCGCGGCCUAUCAGCUUGUUGGUGAGGUAAUGGCUCACCAAGGCGUCGACGGGUAGCCGGCCUGAGAGGGUGACCGGCCACACUGGGACUGAGACACGGCCCAGACUCCUACGGGAGGCAGCAGUGGGGAAUAUUGCACAAUGGGCGAAAGCCUGAUGCAGCAACGCCGCGUGAGGGAUGACGGCCUUCGGGUUGUAAACCUCUUUUAGCAAGGAAGAAGCGAAAGUGACGGUACUUGCAGAAAAAGCGCCGGCUAACUACGUGCCAGCAGCCGCGGUAAUACGUAGGGCGCAAGCGUUAUCCGGAAUUAUUGGGCGUAAAGAGCUCGUAGGCGGUUUGUCGCGUCUGCUGUGAAAACUGGAGGCUCAACCUCCAGCCUGCAGUGGGUACGGGCAGACUAGAGUGCGGUAGGGGAGAUUGGAAUUCCUGGUGUAGCGGUGGAAUGCGCAGAUAUCAGGAGGAACACCGAUGGCGAAGGCAGAUCUCUGGGCCGUAACUGACGCUGAGGAGCGAAAGGGUGGGGAGCAAACAGGCUUAGAUACCCUGGUAGUCCACCCCGUAAACGUUGGGAACUAGUUGUGGGGACCAUUCCACGGGUUCCGUGACGCAGCUAACGCAUUAAGUUCCCCCNCCUGGGGAGUACCGGCGCGAGGCUAAAACUCAAAGGAAUGGACGGGGGACCCGCACAAG